CUGUCUGCUGCUGUUGAUUUGAUUUAUUUUCAUUUCUCAUCUCAUCUUAUUAAUUGGUGCACUGAAUUUUAAAUGGAGCAACUUAUUUCUGCAAAGGAUUGGCGUGCAAGGGUUCCCCGGUCACAAAUCACGACACGAAAACGUGCAUCGAAUGCAGACGACGUCCCUAAAGUCUACACAUGGGGAUGUAAUGUAAAAUAUGUCCACCAGAUGGCGCGUGUGUUCAGGGACGAUUAGCGGCCAUUGUGUUCCAAGACGUAGCAGGAAAUGGGUUGUUGGUUGUGGCGUUUCUCACGAUGAAAAUUAAAAGGUGAUUUAGCACAUAGUAACCAAUUUGCCAAAUCAUUCAACUCAGACUAGGAAGUUGGAAGUGCUGGUACAUUUCCGAAAUGGCGUUCCUCGUGUGUCUCGCUGCCCGUUCUUAGGCGUACGUCUCAUCCCAUGGAACAUUAAAAAGUAUAACAAACACUUCUUCAACGCUGUUGGUUACCUUCCAGCCAAAUGGUGAAAGGUGUGACAAAGACAGAUAUUGAACCAUUGUAUGCAGCAUGCGGUUGCAGUAAUCGAGAAGUUGCUGAGCUGUUCCAUCUGGGUUCCUGACUUCAAAAUUUUUGUGUUGUCGUUUUCAUCCAUGCCAUGAAAUUGCUCUGUGUUAACUGUGUGCCAACUUAAAAGUUUGAUCUGUUGUCUUUUGAGUUUUCAUUCAAUCAUGCAGUAUACAACUGAGGCAACCUGAUCAAUAUCAGGUUUGA